CUCGUUCACCGUGUCACCGUAAGAGGAUGAGGAGGAAGCCUUCUCCGUCGCCGCCGGCUGAUCGUUUCCGUAGUCCGAGACCUCGAUUGAGAACCUAGGUCCUCCUGACAUAAUCUCCAUCACCGUAAAAGACACAAACCAGACUCUCAGAGAAUAGUAGAAAUCGCCAUGGUCGAGAGAGAGAGAGAGAGAGGAUAAGGUUUUUAUCUAUUUUUACAAAUUUAAUUGAAGGAAGGCGAUAAAGGACGAUAACUGGAUAAAAUAUUUAUCCUAUUGGAGGAUUAAAUAUUAUAAAUUUAUAUAUGCGAAUGCGUGAUUUCGGACACAAAAAGUACUGUAAACUAAUGUAUCUCCCUGUCCUUCCUUUCUGCUUAUGAUCUCUGUAUUUUUAGUAUUUUUUAACAUUUGAAAAAAAAAUCAGAUGGUAAAUUUUGGGAAAUUAAUAAUAUUCCUGAACAAACUCAAAAGGAAAGUAAAGGAUUUUGGGAUUGUACUAUAUGUUUCGUCCAAAUAACUUGAACGAAAA